GAUGAACGCUAGCGGCAGGCCUAAUACAUGCAAGUCGAACGGGAUCCAGAUCAAAGCUUGCUUUGGUUUGGUGAGAGUGGCGCACGGGUGCGUAACGCGUGAGCAACCUACCCUUGUCAGGGGGAUAGCCCGGCGAAAGUCGGAUUAAUACCGCAUGACAUCAUUGAGAGGCAUCUUUCGAUGAUCAAAGAUUUAUCGGACAAGGAUGGGCUCGCGUGACAUUAGCUAGUUGGUAAGGUAACGGCUUACCAAGGCUACGAUGUCUAGGGGCUCUGAGAGGAGAAUCCCCCACACUGGUACUGAGACACGGACCAGACUCCUACGGGAGGCAGCAGUAAGGAAUAUGGGUCAAUGGACGGAAGUCUGAACCAGCCAUGCCGCGUGCAGGAAGACGGCCCUAUGGGUUGUAAACUGCUUUUAUACGGGAACAAACGUCGGUACGUGUACCGGUCUGAGUGUACCGUAAGAAUAAGGAUCGGCUAACUCCGUG
rnacentral:rRNA from 1 species